GAUGUUUUCGCGUGUAAAGAUUUUUCCCCAAAAAUAAUUUCUUUGAAGAUCUUGCUGGGAGAAAAAAUUAUCUCAGAAAAAGUUUAUUUUGCAAGAUCUUUCAAAGAGAUAACCUCCAUUCUCAAUAAUGCAAUUUCAGUUCCAUGAUCUGGCCCAUCCGAGUUCGAUUUACUGAGACAUCAAUUCACUGGACUAACACUGGAAAUCACGUAUCACGUUUUUCUUCCAGCUGAUCAAGGAGCAUGUGCGGCCGACAGUUCAACCCACUUCAAAUACCACGACUAUUACUACUAUGACUCAGAUCCUCUUACCGUGACAUUUGAUUACCUGAAACCAUUAUGUGACUACCAUGUGUCCUACUAUGCGAAAUGUGGCAACUAUUAUGUAGGCUAUGAAGAAAACUCAACCAGAAGCGUGGAAACUGUUUUCAAAACUGCUGAAAGACCUGGUGUCCUCGACUCUUUGAUCUUGGAAGACGCUACUGCGACCUCACUUACCAUCAGCGGGUUUGGAGUAACCUAUGGCUGGUUCAGCGACCUAAACAUCACUCU